rnacentral:rRNA from 1 species
AUUGAACGCUGGCGGCAUGCUUUACACAUGCAAGUCGAACGGUAACAGGCCGCAAGGUGCUGACGAGUGGCGAACGGGUGAGUAAUGCAUCGGAACGUGCCCAGUCGUGGGGGAAAACGCAGCGAAAGCUGCGCUAAUACCGCAUACGAUCUAUGGAUGGAAGCGGGGGACCGUAAGGCCUCGCGCGAUUGGAGCGGCCGAUGUCAGAUUAGGUAGUUGGUGGGGUAAAGGCUCACCAAGCCGACGAUCUGUAGCUGGUCUGAGAGGACGACCAGCCACACUGGGACUGAGACACGGCCCAGACUCCUACGGGAGGCAGCAGUGGGGAAUUUUGGACAAUGGGGGCAACCCUGAUCCAGCAAUGCCGCGUGCAGGAAGAAGGCCUUCGGGUUGUAAACUGCUUUUGUACGGAACGAAACGGCUCUGGUUAAUACCUGGGGCUAAUGACGGUACCGUAAGAAUAAGCACCGGCUAACUACGUGCCAGCAGCCGCAGUAAUAC